CUGAAGAAAUGCAAGCAGAGAAACCAGUGCACCCAUGGCCAUAUCUUAGCUCGAUGUUUGAGAUUUCAGGAGUCAAAAAUAAUUCCUAUCUGUUUAAAUGUAUUCUCUGUUUGCCACGGAUAAACUACAUUUCUGCGUUUAAGAACUCACCAUCCAACCUGAGAAAGCACAUCGAGGGUCAUCCAAUAGAGAUUGGGAAUGGAAAACAAUAAAGAUCAAAAUGCAACCGGCACCAAGGGGGGUAAAUGCAGCUGCAUCAUUGUCCAGAAAGAGUUCUGCGGUGCGAGGUGUAUGUGAAAAUGUCUACACUGGCUUUUGGAAGGUCACUUUGGGAGGGUGCGGUGCAUCACAGAGAAACCAGGAGUGUCCAAUGCAGGUAAAAGCCAGUGAACCAAGGUGACCUAUAGCAACAGCUCAUCUCCAAUGACAGAAACCGUAUCAGCUAGAAACGUGCUCCUGCAUUUAAAGUGAUAGUUCAUUAUUUUUGAAGUGAGGUUCUGUUAAAAGCUUAUAAGCACUUAGUACCUUAGCUGCAGUAGAUAACUUCCACUGCCUCUUAAUUUUGUAUAAAUUCAGGUUAGUUGGUCCAGGUGGGACCAAAACAUCUUUCUUCUGGAGUCUUUCAGAACUCCAAGCCCAAAAGCAUUACAAGAGUUUGAGUAAUUGCUAUUUUAUGAAGUUAAAAACUGUUUAUGUUUACAUUAUGUUUGCAUGGGUGGUUACUUAUGAAAAAAGAGAAUAUCUUUUACACUGGUAAAUGGGAUAGCAGGCAGUGUGCACUUAAGUGUUUUUGGUCAGAGAGUAACUGUCCAAUGUAAAAAGGUUAAGUGGUAUGAAAAUCUAAAAUACUAUUGAGGUUUAUGUGUAGGCUAUUUUUACGAUUUUUACACUGCAUUUUUUUAUUAGGUUUUAACUCUUGCCGAAAACAUAAAUGGUGAUUUCAUUUAAUCCAAAAUAAAACAAUAUAAACAUAGAUACACUUUAAACUUUAAAGUUCUGCUUUUAAACUGCUGCAUCUUUCAGAUUCUUCACUAACCUAUCCUGAUCACAUCUCCUUCUUUACAUCCAUGAUGAGCAACGGGCUCAUGAAUGAAUCAAGAGAAAGGUUUGAGAGAAGAAGGAUAGAUAGGACUGGGGGAUGGCGGAAAGGUGGAAUAGGAGAUCCCCAUGAGGCGGCACAAAAUAAACCAACUCCGAUCGAUUGCAAAGACAGGUCGAUUAGCCCUGAAACAGCAAGCUGGCUUUCACCCCCAGGGCAGCACUACGUCUCCCCUCUCUCCUGACUUGUACAAGGAACUGAAAAUCCUGCAGCUCACACCAAAAUACGUUGCUUCUGGUAUCACAUUUUAAAGGGAGUGAUUGUUAGUUACAGCUAAGUAUUUACUUUACAGUCUUUUCAGACAGUUUGGAUACAAAGAAACAUGUUAUGGCCACACCUGCAACCACACAGUUGGUAACCCCACACACCAACACUUUUUCAUUUUGAGUUUUCAUAUACACAUUCACUGCAGCAUAAAUACAUUUUGGUUUAUAUUUUCUUUUGACAAUAUUGAAAUACAUUAGUUCUAAUUAUAGCGCCCACAUUUGAUUAACUUUUGUAUACUUAAUUUUGUCAAAUAUUAAAAAAAAUGUUGUGCUUUCUUUGCUGGUGCUGUGGGGGAGUACCUUGAACUCCAGCAAUGGACUCUGGCUGGCACACUCCAAUCCCAGAUUGACUGAUUGGGUGAUACCAUCUGGAGCUCCACCAUGGGGGAAGACCAUGGAGUCAUUAUUCUAAUUUUUGCUUAAGUUCUCUUUGCCUGUGGGAUUUGUUUAUUUUGGUUAGUUAUUAGUCAUUCAAGUUAAUUUUUAAGCUGGCUGUGUUUAGUUAUUUUUGUUAGUUAAAUUUCUGUAGAUGUUUUCCUUCCUUCUUCCUCAGUGCGUCAGUCUGGUCUGAUCAGCCAGCAUUUAAAUCACCUUUGUUUGUUGUGUGAGAGGUCAGUUUAUUUGUUUUGAGCAGUUUGUUUGAGGUUUUGUUAUGUUAAACCCUGAUUUUUUGUCUUGAGUUUAGCUUCUUCAUUGGACCUCUUUUAAG